rnacentral:rRNA from 1 species
GAGCAACGCCGCGUGAGUGAUGAAGGUUUUCGGAUCGUAAAACUCUGUUGUUAGGAAGAACAAGUACCGUUCGAAUAGGGCGGUACCUUGACGGUACCUAACCAGAAAGCACGGCUAACUACGUGCCAGCUAAGCCGCGGUUAAUACGUAGGUGGCAAGCGUUGUCCGGAAUUAUUGGGCGUAAAGCGCGCGCAGGCGGUUUCUUAAGUCUGAUGUGAAAGCCCGCGGGCUCAACCGGGGAGGGUCAUUGGGAAACUGGGGAACUUGAGUGCAGAAGAGGGGAGUCGCAUUCCCACGUGUACCGGUGAAAUGCGUAGAGAUGUGGAGGAACACCAGUGGCGAAGGGCGACUCUCUGGUCUGUAACUGACGCUGAGGCGCGAAAGCGUGGGGAGCGAACAGGAUUAGAUACCCUGGUAGUCCACGCCGUAAACGAUGAGUGCUAAGUGUUAGAGGGUUUCCGCCCUUUAGUGCUGAAGUUAACGCAAUAAGCACUCCGCCUGGGGAGUACGGCCGCAAGGCUGAAACUCAAAGGAAUGACGGGGGCCCGCACAAGCGGUGGAGCAUGUGGUUUAAUUCGAAGCAACGCGAAGAACCUUACCAGGUCUUGACAUCCUCUGAAAACCCUAGAGAUAGGGCUUCUCCUUCGGGAGCAGAGUGACAGGUGGUGCAUGGUUGUCGUCAGCUCGUGUCGUGAGAUGUUGGGUUAAGUCCCGCAACGAGCGCAACCCUUGAUCUUAGUUGCCAUCAUUAAGUUGGGCACUCUAAGGUGACUGCCGGUGACAAACCGGAGGAAGGUGGGGAUGACGUCAAAUCAUCAUGCCCCUUAUGACCUGGGCUACACACGUGCUACAAUGGACGGUACAAAGAGCUGCAAGACCGCGAGGUGGAGCUAAUCUCAUAAAACCGUUCUCAGUUCGGAUUGUAGGCUGCAACUCGCCUACAUGAAGCUGGAAUCGCUAGUAAUCGCGGAUCAGCAUGCCGCGGUGA